rnacentral:rRNA from 1 species
GUGGGGAAUAUUGGGCAAUGGGCGCAAGCCUGACCCAGCAACGCCGCGUGAAGGAAGAAGGCUUUCGGGUUGUAAACUUCUUUGACAGAGGACGAAGACGUGACGGUACUCUGAAAACAAGCCACGGCUAACUACGUGCCAGCAGCCGCGGUAAUACGUAGGUGGCGAGCGUUAUCCGGAUUUACUGGGUGUAAAGGGCGUGUAGGCGGGAUUACAAGUCAGGCGUGAAAACUAUGGGCUCAACCCAUAGCCUGCGUUUGAAACUGUAGUUCUUGAGUGAUGGAGAGGCAGGCGGAAUUCCUCGUGUAGCGGUGAAAUGCGUAGAUAUGAGGAGGAACACCAGUGGCGAAGGCGGCCUGCUGGACAUUAACUGACGCUGAGGCGCGAAAGCGUGGGGAGCAAACAGGA